CACGCUGUAAACGAUGCUAACUCGUUUUUGGGUUUUCGGAUUCAGAGACUAAGCGAAAGUGAUAAGUUAGCCACCUGGGGAGUACGUUCGCAAGAAUGAAACUCAAAGGAAUUGACGGGGGCCCGCACAAGCGGUGGAUUAUGUGGUUUAAUUCGAUGAUACGCGAGGAACCUUACCAAGACUUAAAUGGGAAUUGACAGCUUUAGAAAUAGAGCCUUCUUCGGACAAUUUUCAAGGUGC
rnacentral:rRNA from 1 species